CUUUUGAAGCCUUGUAUUUCAGUAGUGUUGAUUAUACUGUCUGCUUUUUCAUCUAAUCUUAUUUAUUUGAGGUUUUGAGGUUUUUUUCUCUUUUUUUCUUUGUCAUUCUUGUUAGAGACUGAUUUAGUUUUUAAAAAUUUUAUGUGAGGUAAACAAAUUUCAUGUACUUGCCAUAUACAUAUUCAGGAACGUAUUGAUUCUUCACACCCAACGCUUCCUCUAGCCCAUGCUUCCAUACUUCUUCCUCUUCCCUCUCCUGUUUCCACUGUUAAUUCUAAUAGAAAAAUAUUUUCAGGUAACUUUAUACUCAUAAUAGUCACUAUUCACUAAGUAAAAAGUUCAACAAAUAGUAUGAAGAAAAUAAAUUGUUCCUCAAAGUGAGACAAGGCUUGUAAAAAAAGCAUCAUAUCUCAAAAUACUCAUUUUAUUCCUACACAUUAUUACCUGUUAAAUACUCUCUUAGUCACCGCAGAUCAGGGACAACAUGUGGGAUUUGUCUUUUGGGGACUAGCUUAUUUCACUAAGUAUAAUGUUUUCUAGUUAAAUCCAUUUUGUUGCAAAAGACUUCAUUGCAUUUUUUCCUGCUGAAUAGCAUUCCAUAGUGUAUAUAUACCACAGUUACUUUUUUUCAAGAUUUAUUUUUCUGAGAGGCAGAGUUGAGAGAGGGAGAGAUAGAGAACGAGAGGUCUUCCAUCUGAGAAUGAGAGGUCUUCCUUCUGGUUCACUCUCUAAAUGGAUGCAAUGGGUAGAACUGGGCUGAUGUGAAGCCAGGAGUCAGCAGCUUCUUCUGGGUUUUCCACACAGGUGCAAGGGCCCAAGGAUUUGGGCCAUCUUCUACUGUUUUCCUAGGCCUUCAUCAGGGAGCAUCCAGGCUUCGAACAGGCACAACUAUGGGAUGCUGGUGCAUCAAGUAGGAGGCUUAACCCACUUUGUGCUGGCCUCCAUAAUUUCUUUAUCUAAUCGUCAUUUGAUAGACAUCUGGGUUGAUUCCAUAUCUUAGCUGUUGUGAAUUGAGCAGCCAUAAACAUGUGGGUACAGAUAACUCUUUCAUCUGCUGAUUUCAAUUUGUUUAGGUAAAUUCCCAUGAGUGGCAUUGCUGGUUCAUAUGAUUCAUCUAUUUUCAGCCUUUUGAGGUGUCUCCAUACUGUCUUCCACAAUGGCUUCACCAGAUUACAUUCCCAAUGGAUUAGGAAUAGGUUACCUACCUAGAGCACACUUGAGAUCAACACAGGCCCGCUAUUCUAGCCUGGAGACAAGACAGCUGUCACCCACGUUUUUACGCUGCCUGUACGCUUCUGGUGCUGCUGUGCUUGCUGGGAGGGAGAGGAGGGUCUUAGAUGGCUGGCGCUUGCGCAGUCGGCCUGGUGGAGAGCAAGAAGAUGUAUCCGGCGGUGGCGGCAUGUUGUCGGCUGCAGGAGUUGUCGGCUGAUGGCGGCGUUUUCGGCAGAGGUACAGGCCCGGAGAGUGCAGGAGUGAAGACAUCUUCAUGGAUAUGAAACUGGACGCAGAGUUGACGCUGAAGUUCAGCUUGCCGAGUCAUCUUCCAUUUCUAGAGACUGCUCGAUUUCCUGCUAAACACACUUGGGGCUUCUUCCUGGAGAGGAGCAACUGACAGAAUUACAGAGAGAGGUAGAGACAGAGAGAGGUCUUGCAUCUGCUGGUUCACUCCACAGAUGGCUGCAACGGCCGGAGCUGGGCCAAUCUGAAGCCAGGAGCCAGGAGCUUCUUCCAGAUCUCCCACAUGCAUGCAGGGGCCCAAGGAGUUGGGCCAUCUUCUACUGCUUUCCCAGGCCAUAGCAGAGAGCUGGAUUGGAAGAGGAGCAGCUGGGACUAGAAGCAGUGCACAUAUGGAAUGCCACUCCAUGCCAAUGUGUGUCCUGUUGCCAGUGAGGAGUGUGCCUGUGCCUGGCGCUUUGACCCAGAAGUGCACCCGCAGGUGCCGCCACUUCUGCCCUCGAUGCACUGGUGGGAGUCAGAGCCAUGUCUGCUCCUUCCCAGAGCCUUGAGGAGCCGCCUUCAACGCUGGUGGCUGAACCUGAGGAGACCCAGGGCCCCCCCAGGCUCAGGCCGGGAUCAGACUGCACACACAGAGGAGAAAGCAGAAGCUUAGAGAAAUGCCAAGAAUCCCUCAGUGCCCUGUUCCAGCCUGCCCCAAGAUUCUGACACCUCACAGUCCUGUGUCCUGGUUCACACUAAUGGUCAUCUUAAGAUUUACUUUGCUGUUCUAGUGUUUUAAGGUAAAAUUUGGUUUACUGAUCUGAUAUCUGUAUUCCUUAAUAUAUACCUGUAUAGCAAUAAAAUUCCUCAUGUGAAAUUAGGCCUGUCAACAUGGAAAACUCUAAGGAUGUACCCACUACUGGGAACAUACUGAAGGAAAUUAAAUCAUUAUGUAACAGAGGGAUGCACAAGCCUAUGCUUAUUGCAGCAAGAUGCACAAUAGCCAGGCUAUGCAGUGUGUAUAUGUAUGUAUGGUAUACAUAGACCAUAACUUCUUAAUUCACUUUUCAGUUGAUCAGCAUUUUGAUUGAUUGAAAUAUGCCUAUUGAAGCCAUUUACCCAUUUCUUGAGUGGGUGGUUUGUUUUGCUGUUGUUGAGUUUCUUGAAAAUAUCUGGUAGUAAACCCUUUAUCAGCUGCAUACAUUGCAGAUUAAGUUCUACCAUUCUGUUAGUUGCUGCUUCACUUUGUGGAGUGUUUUUUUUUUUUUUUGGUGUCCUCUUCAUUAAUCUUUUAUAGUUCUCAGAUAUUGGACAUCCUUGGUUAAAUUUAUUCCAACCUAUUUUAUUUUCUUUGUAGAUAUGUGAAUGGGAUUGGUCUUCGAAAUCCUUUCUCAAUCAUGACCUUGUCUGUGUAUACAAAAGCUGUUGAUUUUCUAUCCUGCCACUGUACCAAACUCUACUCUUGAGUUUUGAUAUUCUUUUAGUGGAGUCUUUUGGAUCUCCUAUAUACAGGAGAAUAGAAAAUGUCAACAGUGACCUCAGAGGAUACCUUUCUGUAUUCUGUUUUGCUUUGUGGAAGACACGAUUUGUCCUAUUUCAAAGGCAGGGCUAGAAUGUGGAGGGCAGAGAUGGGGAAGCAGACCUGUGUUCGGUGAAGAACUCUGCAGAUCACAGGUAUUUCUACCCCUUGUGUGAAUGGGUACAUAGUCUGAAUAAAUAAAUUACAAAGAUUUCCUCAUGUGCAAGUCAGAGAUAAUGCCACACAGAAUGUUUGUAAGGAAGAAGAGAAUGAAUGGGUACCAGAAUCUUUUCUAAGACUGAGUUAAAUUCUUUUUCAAAUUCUGUGUUAAUGGGGUAUGUAAUGCAUAUAGUAUCAAAUUCUAGAUAAACUCAAGUAGUUGGCCUUGAUGUAGUAUUUUCUUUACAAUGAGCUAGGUUUUACUUUUUAAAAAAGUCUUAUUUAUUUAUUUGAAAUUCAGAGUUACACACAGAGAGGAUGAGAGGCAGAGGCAGAAUGGCAGAGAGAGAGAGAGGGAGAGGUUAUCCAUCUGCUGGUCCACUCCACAGUUGGCUGCAAUGGCUGGCGCUGAGAGGAUUCAGGGUGAGGAGCUAGGAGCAAGGAGCCUCCCUGGGGUCUCCUGCAUGGGGACAGGUCCCCAGGACUUGGGCCAUCUUCGACUGCCUUCCCAGACCAUAGCAGAGAACUGCAUCAGAAGUGGACCAGCUGGGACUCGAACCGGCGUCAUAUGGGAUGCUGGCACUGCAGGCAGUGGCUUGACCCGCUAUCCCCCAGCGCCGGCCCCUCCCAGAAGCUGUUCCCCCUGGGAUCCAGCUGUCUGCUAACAUGCCUGGGAAAGCAGAGACGGCCCAAGGACUUAAGCCCCUGAACCCAGAAUGGAGCACCAGAAAAAAGUCCUUGGCUUCUUCUUUGGCCUGUCCCAGCCCUGGCCUUUGUAGCCACCUGAGGGGUGAACCCGCAGAUGGACGAUCACUGAGAGAGAGAGAAAGAGUGCUGGCGAUGCCCCCUGCACUGCUUCUCUCCCCAAACGGCUUUGACGGCCAGCACUGGAUCAGGCAGAAGUCAGGAGGCAGGAGCUCCAUUCAGGACUCCCACGAGGGAGGGAGGGAGGCAGGGAGGCAGGGAGGCAGGGAGGCAGGGAGGCAGGGAGGCAGGGAGGCAGCGAGCCAGGGUCCAGAGUACCCAGGCCUCAGCGGCUGCCUCCCUUUAUCACAACCUGGAGCAAGAGCAGCUGACUGAGGCGGGCCUGUGGUUUCGGGCGCUGGAUGCGGCAGUGCACAGAUGCGUCCCGUGGCGCCAUGGCGAUGGCCAGUGAGGAGUGCGCCUGCGCCCGGUGCUUUGACCCGGAAGUGCACCCACAGGCGUGGCCGCUUCUGCCUUCAGUGCAUGGGUGCGAGUCAGGGCCGUGCCCACUCCUGCCCACGGCUUGAGCGAGCCUUGAGGAGCCGUCUUUGACGCUGGUGGCCAAACCUGAGGAGUCCAGGGCCUCCCAGGCUCAGGCCAGGAUCAGGUGAGGCUGCGGCCCGAGGCGGCCGCAUCAGUUCCUUGGGCUUCUGGAAACUUCCAGGCGCGGUCCUCUGCUUCGGCCCCUUCCCGAAGACUACACCUCAGGACUCGGUUCCUGUUCCUGAGGAACAGAAAUGCUCUUUGUGAGGGGAUUCGGCACGGUGGACUUCCCGUCACGGGACUGCACACAUGGAGGAGAAAGCAGAAGCUUAGAGAAACGCCAAGAAUCCCUCUGUGCUCUGUUCCAGCCUGUCCAAAAUUCUGACACCUCACACCCCUUCUGGAAGCAAUGGCUGUCCCGCCAGCAGACCAGGCCCCCUUGGAGUGGUGAUACCAGUUUACAUUCCCACCAGCAGUGGAUUAGGGUGCCUUUUCCCUCACAUCUUCAAGGUAGAGUUAUAGAAAGUGAGAGAGAGAGAGACAGAGAGAAAGGUCUUCCUUCCGCUGAUUCACUCCCCAAAUGGCCGCCAUGACCGGCGCUGCACUGAUCUGAAGCCAGGAGCCAGGUGCUUCUUCCUGGUCUUUCACAUGGGCUCCACAGCGGCCUCGAGGUCUUGCAGCAUGAUGUCAUAGAAACUGCUUUGUACUGGUGAGUAAUAAACACAAUUCUGCUGUGAGAAGACGACACUCAGGAGGAGGGAAUGUGUGGAGCCCUUUGGAAUUGUAGUGCUCUGCGUGAGGAACGGGGUGUGUGUCCCUGGUGGUGGGUGGGUGCAGCAAGUAUCUCUGGACCUCUCCCGAGCAGCCGUUCCUCCUCUCCCUUGUGUGGUUGGCUGGACAGUUGAAGGGCGGGGACUGCUGCCUCGGUGUCACUGUUGGAGCUGACUGAAAGACGCCAUGGCUGAGCCCCCCGGGGGUGUGUUGAUGGCAUCAUUUGAGGUGUGAGCCUGGGACUUGAUGGACGUUUGGGUGUCAUGCAGCCGAGGAGAAUGCGCCGAUUUCCCUGUCUCCUGCUGCCAGAGCCAUGAAAUCAAGGCUGCUUUGCACCAAGUGCCGGGUGAGCCGUCUUCUCAUCCCCAUCAGACACAGACGUUUCUGUUGAGGAGAAGCAUCUGCUCUUCAUGUCAGUUCCGCACCUGGACCAGGCCUCAGCCCUGUUUUCUUCAGGACCUCUCAGGUUGAUGGGUGAGGAGACCCAUGGGAGGAGGACUUAGAAGUCCGGAGGCUGAGUGCCUUCUAGUUGUGCACAGAAACACCCUGUGCGUGUCUUCCUUAAUUGCAGAGUGUUCCUGAUGUCAUGGGCACGUAGGAACCAGAGAGGAACCUCUGCCCUGGACCUCUCUCUGCUGGAUCUCAGCCGCCUCAUGUUUCUUGGUGCUGUUUUUUUUUUUUUUUCUUUAAGAGUUUAUUCAAGUCAGAGGUAUCUGCAUUUAUAGCUUCUUCCUGAUAAUUCUUUCCUCUCCUGAUGGAGUUUCAUUUCUCCUGUGUUUCAGGAGAUGCCUAGGGGGGGGGGUGUCCCCCAUUGGAUUCUAGUCUGAGGGAGUCUUUCAUGGUGAGUCACGUGCUGCUUUGCUCAUUAGAAGAAUCCUAAGUAAGAUGGGAAAAGACUCUUUUUGUUGGAGAGAGAAAAUGAAAACCAGCUUUUCUGAGGCCAGAGGGGCUCAUGUGGUAAUAAAUGAUGAAUUCAUCCUUUUUUUUCUGCCAUCCCUCCCAGUGGCAGUUGAUCUCAUGACAGCUGUUUCCAGCUGUACUCUGGAUUUUGAGCAGGCCCCUUGGGAUGGCUGUAAUGACUCACACAGCUGGGCUUUUUCCACAACGGGCUGAACCUGGCUGCUCGAGGAGCAGGGGCUGGAGGCAGGGAAGGUGACUCUGGUGGCUGGAGGAGAUUUCCUUGUUGGGAUCGCUGUCCCUGCAGGGCCCUCCUGUCCACAGAGAUCCUGGGAGAUAACGUCUGAGGCAGGGUAGAGAAUGUGUUCAUAGAGAACGUGUGUUGGAGAAAGCCAAAUGUUCUUUGUUUAAUUUUUUUUCUUU